rnacentral:rRNA from 1 species
AUUGAACGCUGGCGGCAUGCUUUACACAUGCGAGUCGAACGGCAGCGCGGGCUUCGGCCUGGCGGCGAGUGGCGAACGGGUGAGUAAUACAUCGGAACGUGCCCAGUAGUGGGGGAUAGCUCGGCGAAAGCCGGAUUAAUACCGCAUACGACCUGAGGGUGAAAGCGGGGGAUCUUCGGACCUCGCGCUAUUGGAGCGGCCGAUGGCAGAUUAGCUAGUUGGUGGGGUAAAGGCCUACCAAGGCGACGAUCUGUAGCUGGUCUGAGAGGACGACCAGCCACACUGGGACUGAGACACGGCCCAGACUCCUGCGGGAGGCAGCAGUGGGGAAUUUUGGACAAUGGGCGAAAGCCUGAUCCAGCAAUGCCGCGUGUGUGAUGAAGGCCUUCGGGUUGUAAAGCACUUUUGGCGGGAACGAAAAGGACUGUGCCAAUACCACGGUUCGAUGACGGUACCCGCAGAAUAAGCACCGGCUAACUACGUG